GACGAACGCUGGCGGCGUGCUUAACACAUGCAAGUCGAACGGAAAGGCCCUGCUUUUGUGGGGUGCUCGAGUGGCGAACGGGUGAGUAACACGUGAGUAACCUGCCCUUGCCUUUGGGAUAACUUCAUGAAACUGGGGCUAAUACCGGAUAGGAGCUCCUGCUGCAUGGUGGGGGUUGGAAAGUUUCGGCGGUUGGUGAUGGACUCGCGGCUUAUCAGCUUGUUGGUGGGGUAGUGGCUUACCAAGGCUUUGACGGGUAGCCGGCCUGAGAGGGUGACCGGCCACAUUGGGACUGAGAUACGGCCCAGACUCCUACGGGACGCAGCAGUGGAGAAUAGUGCACAAUGGGCGGAAGCCUGAUGCAGCAACGCCGCGUGCGGGAUGACGGCCUUCGGGUUGUAAACCGCUUUCGCCUGUGACGAAGCGUGAGUGACGGUAAUGGGUAAAGAAGCACCGGCUAACUACGUG
rnacentral:rRNA from 1 species